GAAAGUACCUAAGUAUCAUCCACAUAGCAUUAGCCUUUAAUUUAAAAUAAAUUUAAACACUUUAUUUACUUAGGUUAAACAAGCCAUUAAUAAUUUCAAUUUUUUUCAUAAAUAUGUAAUUCCAGGCAAAUAUAUGUGGGUGCAUUGACUGCACCCAUAUAACCAUUUGAAAACUUAUGAAUUUUAUGCCAUCCUUUGUACAAAGUACCUAUGACUUUGAAUAAAUUAGACUAUAAACAUAAGCCGUCUUAUUACAGAACGAGGUUUAACUAAAAACUUUGGUUUAAACCUAUACAAAGUACGGUUUAUAUAAAAAUGGUAUUACAAAAAGUGGUUUAACGAUAAACCAUGGACUAUUUGAUGGUCUAAUGCUAAACCUCGGCGCCCCUGGUUUGAUGAUGGUCUAAAUCGUAAAUGUCAAUGCAAAUUUCAAAUCAUUUGUCAGAUUAUCUCUUAAAUUAGCGUCUGUUUCGUUGUUUUGUGUUAUUUUUUACACGAAAAUGGAUAUUAACAUGGUAGAUUCAGUCGAUAUUGAGGAUAUUGAAGCCGUUGAGCAACUGGAAACGCCACGCCGACCUAAUAGAAAUCGUGUUCGAGUCAAUCCCUUCAUUGAUUUAUCUGAUGAAGAUUUCAGGCAAAAGUAUAGAUUUACUAAAUCUUUUGCAAUGAAAAUAGUAGAUUUAUUAGAGGACCCAUUAACUCGAGACACCCGUGGAUGCCCGGUGUCUCCCGAAAUCCAAGUGGUUUGCGCAUUGCGAAGCUGGGCUCGACAUGAGAUCCAAGAUGAUACAGCCGAUUUGCAUGGAGUCUCACAGCCCUUUAUAAGUAAAAUAUGCAAAAAAUUAGCAGGAGCCAUAGCCGGAAUAUCGCAUAGAUUUAUAAAAAUGCCUGCUUCAUUGGCAGAACAAGAGGAAGCAAUGCGAAAAUUCCAUAGAAUUGCAAAUUUUCCUUCAGUAAUUGGUGCAAUUGACUGUACUCACAUAAGGGUAAAAAAAUUAUGUGAAGAUGGUGGUCAAAUAUAUAUCAAUCGCAAAGGAUUUCCAUCUAUUAAUGUCCAGCUAUUCUGAUUUUAUAUUCAUAUUUUUAUUCUAAAAUAAACAAUAACUUGUAUGCAGAACCAUCCCUAAAGUACAUUUGACUUUACAACCUUAUACUAGGGAUAGAAUGUCUUUGUUUAGUGUGACUAUUAUACAAUAAAUAAUAAAAAUUCUAGGUCAGAUUGUUAUUAUUUAGGCUUUGCAGGGAUACAGUGGAAAACUAUAAUUUAAAUGUGACUAUGCUCUAUAAUAUGAAAUGAUAAUGUGUAUAGUCAAUUCAUAUGUAUGUGUUAGAUACUAAAAUAAUCAACUAUUGUUCCAGGUAGUCUGCGAUGCAAAUUUAAAAAUAAUAGAUAUUGUUGCUAGGUGGCACGGCAGUGUCCAUGACUCUCGAAUUUUUAGAGAAAGUCGACUAAAGCAGAGAUUUGAGGCUGGUGCCUUCUCAGGCAUUUUGCUUGGAGACAGUGGGUAUGCAUGUACACCGUAUUUGUUUACUCCCUUACUGAAUACCUCAACACCCCAAGAAGAACGGUACAAUAGUGCUCACAUUAACACCAGAAAUGCAGUGGAGAGAUGUUUUGGGUUGUGGAAGCAGAGGUUCCGUUGUUUAUUAAGAGGCCUUUACUGUGACAUUGAAACUGCAAGAAAAACUAUUGUAGCAUGUGCUGUAUUGCACAAUAUCGCAAUUGAUAUGAAGGAAGAUUUGUUUUCUAGUGGUCUCGAAGACGAAGUUAACAGGCAAUCUCACGCAGUUGUUUUGGCCGCAGAAAACAAUGUUCGCGGAAAUAUUAGAAGAAGGCAAUUUAUUGAAAGACACUUUUAAUUAAAAUAAUAUAUUUUUGUAAUAAGCUUGAAAUUAUAUUUUUUAUACCUGAAAAAGAAAAUGAUAUUAGACAUAACUAAUAUGAGUAUUACUGUGACACUUAUAUAAUCAUAGCAUUGAAAACUUAUAUAAUAGUGGUAUAUUAUUAUUCAUAUGUUACAUUUACCAUUUAAUAUUACUCUGUACUAGAUUUCUUCGUAUUUUCUAAUAAUUCUAUUUCUAGCUCUAGUUUUUUUAUUUUUAAUUUUGCAAUUUUAAUUUUGUAUUCAUGUUCUUCUGCUAGCAUUUCCAGUUGUUUUUUUUUAAAUUGAGUGUUACUCUCUAAUAUUUUUUCUUGUGUUGCUACUUUUCUGAAAAAUCAAAUAUUUAUCCUUUAUUCCUAAUUUAAUCUUAGUAAAUAAUAAGAUUAAUAUAAACUUAAGGUAAUCUUGCUUACAUAUUUUGAGGGCCCUUUUUAUUAUGAAUGUUGUUUUUUUUUCGUCAGUAGUAACGGCAGUCGUCACAUUUUCAUUUGGGGCAUCUGAAAGUAUUUUAGUUGUAUUAAUAUAGACUAAAAUAAAGUCUCAUUUUCAUGUUUUA